UGGCUCAUCAGUUAAGAGCACUGGAUGCUCUUCCAGAGGACCUGGGUUCAAGUCCCAG
rnacentral:tRNA from 1 species